AUGCACGCUGGCGGCGUGCCUAAUCCAUGCAAGUCGAGCGAAUAGACGAGGAGCUUGCUCCUCUGACGUUAGCGGCGGACGGGUGAGUAACACGUGGAUAACCUACCUAUAAGACUGGGAUAACUUCGGGAAACCGGAGCUAAUACCGGAUAAUAUAUUGAACCGCAUGGUUCGAUAGUGAAAGACGGUUUUGCUGUCACUUAUAGAUGGAUCCGCGCCGCAUUAGCUAGUUCGUAAGGUAACGGCUUACCAAGGCAACGAUGCGUAGCCGACCUGAGAGGGUGAUCGGCCACACUGGAACUGAGACACGGUCCAGACUCCUACGGGAGGCAGCAGUAGGGAAUCUUCCGCAAUGGGCGAAAGCCUGACGGAGCAACGCCGCGUGAGUGAUGAAGGUCUUCGGAUCGUAAAACUCUGUUAUUAGGGAAGAACAAAUGUGUAAGUAACUAUGCACGUCUUGACGGUACCUAAUCAGAAAGCCACGGCUAACUACGUG
rnacentral:rRNA from 1 species